UACGAACUGUGCGAGCGUUAUUCGGAAUCACUGGGCUUACAGGGUGCGUAGGCGGCGCGGUAAGUCGGGUGUGAAAUCUCGGAGCUUAACUCCGAAACUGCAUUCGAUACUGCCGUGCUUGAGGACUGGAGAGGAGACUGGAAUUUACGGUGUAGCGGUGAAAUGCGUAGAUAUCGUAAGGAAGACCAGUGGCGAAGGCGGGUCUCUGGACAGUUCCUGACGCUGAGGCACGAAGGCCAGGGGAGCAAACGGG
rnacentral:rRNA from 1 species